rfam:Enterococcus pallens ATCC BAA-351 genomic scaffold acvKb-supercont1.1, whole genome shotgun sequence.
AAAUGAAAGCAGAAGCACCCGCUUCUCGCCUUACGCGAACAUCUCGCUGGGCUAGAUAGUUAAUGACUCGUCUGUAGGGAUGAGUAUGGCUAAGUUGCGGGUUCAGUAUGAACUCGUUUUUUUUGUGCCGA